GCGCUGUGGAACCGCCUCCUGCUAGAGCAGCGGGCUGGCGACGGUCCUCGCCGGGGCGGGAAGCGGCUCAGGCUGCCCUCGCUGGCCUGCGGCGGCGCGGCUGGAAGCGCGGGCCACUCGUGCGUGGGUCACUCAGGACUGCGCCUCGCGCGACUGUGUGUGCAGGAAACAAGCAGGAAAUACCCUAAAAGAGAAUGAAGCGCCAUGUUGAGGGUCGCGGACGUCGCGAGUGCUGUGGGAAUGUGGGCUGAGGUGGAGAGUUAUGGUAGCCCGUGUUACAGGCUCAGGGGUCUGAAAGAAGCCUAAUCGUGGAGGCGGCAUCUGAGGAGGGUCUUGAAGGCUGGGCAGGCAUUUGCCCGACAGAGAUGGAGGAAGCUAGUCCUGUCUGAUGGAGGAAACAGGGCGGAGGCGUGGAGGGAGCCGUGCAGCGCUGGUGUGAGGAGCAGCGAGCAGGCCAGGCCUGUAAAGCAGAGUGAGGGAACCAGGAUAGAGAAGGCAAGUCGGGGUCCUGUGGUCGCUGAAGAAUUUGAAUGAAAUCAGUAAACAGAUACUGCAUAGUGGAUGGAUUAGUCUGUGGUUCCUGGGAUCUUCUGUGUAUUCUGUUGAAGCUCAAUAAUCACAUUACUGCGGACCUCCAAAAUUUUACAAAGGACUGCAUAGUGAGUAUUCAGCCGAUAAACUAAACCAUAGCUUAUUACUGUGAGAUGAAAGAAAGCACACCAAUUAAAAGUAAACACUGUUUAAACUUAUCUCAAUGCAUUUCUAAAGUGUCAUACAUUUAUUAUAUUCUCUACUUGUAAAUAUUUUGUUGUGUGUAUUGCCAAAUAUGUCAGGAUUUUAUGGGUAUAAUGUAUUCUAUUAAUUUAACUGGAAAACUUGUAGUUAUUCAACAAGCAAACAAAGUGUUGGCAGAGAUGUAAUUUUAAAGCACAAUCCCACACACUCCUUGAGUAUUACAGCUGCUCCCUGUUUAUUUAAUAAUAGAACUGAUGAGUAGUUAAUUUGAGAGGAAAGCUGGUGCAGGUGUAGUGCUAUUUAGAUGUCAUGGAGGACACAUGUGACCUCUGCAGCUAGCUAUAUGGUAAAAGCAAAACAGAAGUUAAAAUCAGCCCUAUGUCAAAUCUGCAUAGUUUUAGGCUUCAGGGAGUUUCUCUGUAUGUUGAGGCAGGAAGUUUAGUAGAAUUCCAAGGGAAUAAGAGAGGAACCAACAUUUGUAAAUUUUGCCUUCUAUGGGGGAACUCAUUCAAUCAUCAGGAGGACUCUUCGAUAGGUUUUAUUUGCUCUGGUUUACCUAGAUGAAAAAUUGAGACCCAGAAUCCAUGCUUUUCUUUGCUGGUUACACAUUAGAAUCACCAAUGUGACAUUAAAACACACACACACACACACACACACACACACACACACACCUGCACACCCAUUAAGAUGGCUGCUAUCAAAAAAGAAAAAACAAAAAAAUCAGGGGCUGGGCAUGCUGGUUCACACCUGUAAUCCCAGCCCUUUGGGAGGCCUAGGCAGGUGGAUCACCUGAGGUCGGGAGUUUGACAGCAACCUGGCCAACAUGGUGAAACCUCAUCUGUACCAAAAAACAAAACAAAACAAAACACACACACACACAAUUAGUCGGGCAUGGUGGCACACAUGUGUAAUCCCAGCUAAUUGAGA
rnacentral:lncRNA from 10 species